AUUGAACGCUGGCGGCAUGCCUUACACAUGCAAGUCGAACGGUAACAGGUCUUCGGAUGCUGACGAGUGGCGAACGGGUGAGUAAUACAUCGGAACGUGCCUAGUAGUGGGGGAUAACUACUCGAAAGAGUGGCUAAUACCACAUGAGAUCUACGGAUGAAAGCAGGGGAUCGCAAGACCUUGUGCUACUAGAGCGGCCGAUGGCAGAUUAGGUAGUUGGUGGGAUAAAAGCUUACCAAGCCGACGAUCUGUAGCUGGUCUGAGAGGACGAUCAGCCACACUGGGACUGAGACACGGCCCAGACUCCUACGGGAGGCAGCAGUGGGGAAUUUUGGACAAUGGGCGCAAGCCUGAUCCAGCAAUGCCGCGUGCAGGAUGAAGGCCUUCGGGUUGUAAACUGCUGUUGUACGGAACGAAAAGCCCUGGGUUAAUACCCUGGGGUCAUGACGGUACCGUAAGAAUAAGCACCGGCUAACUACGUGCCAGCAGCCGCAGUAA
rnacentral:rRNA from 1 species